AACCUCCGCAAUGUGAGAAAUCGCGACGGGGGGAUCCCAAGUGCCAUUCUUAACGGGAUGGCUUUUCAUUAGUGUAAAGAGCUUUUGGAAUAAGGGCUGGGCAAGACCGGUGCCAGCCGCCGCGGUAACACCGGCAGCUCUAGUGGUAGCAGUUUUUAUUGGGCCUAAAGCGUCCGUAGCCGGUUUAAUAAGUCUCUGGUGAAAUCCUGUAGCUUAACUGUGGGAAUUGCUGGAGAUACUAUUAGACUUGAGACCGGGAGAGGUUAGAGGUACUCCCAGGGUAGAGGUGAAAUUCUGUAAUCCUGGGAGGACCGCCUGUUGCGAAGGCGUCUAACUGGAACGGUUCUGACGGUGAGGGACGAAAGUUAGGGGCGCGAACCGGAUUAGAUACCCGGGUAGUCCUAACUGUAACGAUGCGGACUUGGUGUUGGGGUGGCUUUGAGCUGCUCCAGUGCCGAAGGGAGCUGUUAAGUCCGCCGCCUGGGAAGUACGGUCGCAAGACUGAAACUUAAAGGAAUU
rnacentral:rRNA from 1 species